rnacentral:rRNA from 1 species
AGAGCGAACGCUGGCGGCAUGCUUAACACAUGCAAGUCGCACGGGCACUUCGGUGUCAGUGGCGGACGGGUGAGUAACGCGUAGGUAUCUAUCCUUGGGUGGGGGACAACGGUUGGAAACGACUGCUAAUACCGCAUGAUAACUGAGGUUUAAAGGCGCAAGUCGCCUGAGGAGGAGCCUGCGUACGAUUAGCUAGUUGGUGGGGUAAAGCCUACCAAGGCGACGAUCGUUAGCUGGUCUGAGAGGAUGAUCAGCCACAUUGGGACUGAGACACGGCCCAAACUCCUACGGGAGGCAGCAGUGGGGAAUAUUGGACAAUGGGCGAAAGCCUGAUCCAGCAAUGCCGCGUGUGUGAAGAAGGUCUUCGGAUUGUAAAGCACUUUCGACAGGGACGAUGAUGACGGUACCUGUAGAGAACGCCCGGCUAACUCGUGCCAGCAGCCGC